GGUUCCGUGGUGUAGUUGGUUAUCACACAUCGUUCACACCGAUGAGGUCGUGCGUUCGAAUCGCGCCGGAAUCA